rnacentral:rRNA from 1 species
UGGGGAAUCUUGCGCAAUGGGGGCAACCCUGACGCAGCCAUGCCGCGUGAAUGAUGAAGGCCUUAGGGUUGUAAAGUUCUUUUGCCCGUGACGAUGAUGACGGUAACGGGAGAAUAAGCUCCGGCUAACUUCGUGCCAGCAGCCGCGGUAAUACGAAGGGGGCUAGCGUUGUUCGGAAUUACUGGGCGUAAAGCGCGCGCAGGCGGUUUUGUAAGUUAGGGGUGAAAUCCCCGGGCUCAACCCGGGAAUGGCCUUUAAGACUGCAAGGCUAGAGGACGAGAGAGGUGAGUGGAAUUCCCAGUGUAGAGGUGAAAUUCGUAGAUAUUGGGAAGAACACCGGUGGCGAAGGCGGCUCACUGGCUCGUUUCUGACGCUGAGGCGCGAAAGCGUGGGGAGCAAACAGG